AAUUUUCCUCGUAUAGAAUGAGAAAACCACUCUGAAAUUUUCCUCGUAUAGAAUGAGAAAACCACUCUGAAUUUUUUUUCUGAAAUUAUAUAAAUUUCUUGAAGGAAGGGGAGAUAUGUCACAAUGUGACUGGGAUUUCUUUUUUAGACAGAGAAUGUAAUGGACAGGUGUUAGAUGAAUAGAUGUUGUUGGUAGCAAUUUACUAGGUCAACUAACUUGGAUUUACUAGGUCAACUAACUUGGGUCUCUAGUAGAGCAGGUGUCUGUCUUUGUCUGUGUGUGGGGAAAGGAUGAGGAGAAUGUUAAUAGGAAAGUUUUGUAUAGAGGAUUCAGUAAAAGGAAUUUGGAUGGACAGUUUUGGCAUGAGAGGAAUACAAAGAAUGUUAAGGAGGUUACUAUUGAGAGAGCCAACGUGGAUUAGAGAUUUAGGGUAGUUUAAUCAGAUUGCACAUGAGAUCUCGAGAGGAGCAGACCUUUCAGAAUUUGGUCUGACUUUGGGGAGUGAAUGAGGGGUGUUGGCCACGAAGGUAAAAGUUACAGCCACAGGCUAUAAGCAUGCUGUUGCUGGCAUAGACUUUCCCUAUACUAUGGGACCAGGCAAGAACCAGGCAGCACAGGCCGACGUGGUAGAAGCCUCAUCAGCCCUCGCCUCGACUUGGAUCAUCAUUUGAACAUCUGAACUGGACAAGCUGGGCUCGUAGCCAUAACCCUAGGCACCAUCAGUGAAUGGACAUGUGUUCGUAGUCGACACGCUCAGGCAACCUACUCGCGUCAAGUCGUUGAGUCAACGCCCAGUGCUGUCGUACACCGGUCAGGCUUAGCAGGUCAUGCAUCAUAUCGCACCGGGUUACUACAUACACCAGAGUAUUUCGUUCCGCCUAUUCAGAAACAGGAAGAGGUGGUAUUUACGAACUCUAAAUCGGGACUCUCUAACCCACAACAGUAUACUUUUUAUAUAAAGACCGGGCUAGAGUCGGUGGGAGAUUAACUGUAUUAUACCUCGAAGGAUGACCUGGUCAUCAGGUAAUCUUUUUUCCUUUGGAAAUAUGGAGAAUUAUAUUGUGAUAUAAUUGAGUAACGAUAAGUCGACAUAAACAGUGAUAGGAUAUACUCCUAUCUAAGUUCAUAGUGAUGCUGAAUCAUUUUAUUCUUGUCAAUUAUUUGCAUGUUUAAUUAUAUAGAGCCGAUGGCUCUUAAAUAAAUUGUUUGUACACUAUA
rnacentral:lncRNA from 1 species